rnacentral:rRNA from 1 species
AUGAGCACCGCCAAGACGUCGUGGCCGGAGGUGGUGGGCUGGCCAGCGGCGCAGGCUGUGACUCAGGUCAACACCGACAGGCCUGACGUCGCGAUCGAGGUGCUCCCGUCUGGCACUAGUGUGUCCCCGGGGUUCAGCAGCAAGCGAGUCCGCGUCUUCUUCGACAGGACUGGCAGUGUCGAGGCCACUCCAACGGUUGGCUAG